UACAGAGGGGGCAAGCGUUGUUCGGAAUUACUGGGCGUAAAGGGCGCGUAGGCGGCCUUCUAAGUCGAACGUGAAAUCCCCGGGCUCAACCCGGGAACUGCGUCCGAUACUGGAAGGCUUGAAUCCGGGAGAGGGAUGUGGAAUUCCAGGUGUAGCGGUGAAAUGCGUAGAUAUCUGGAGGAACACCGGUGGCGAAGGCGACAUCCUGGACCGGUAUUGACGCUGAGGCGCGGAAAGCCAGGGGAGCAAAGCGGG
rnacentral:rRNA from 1 species